GCGAACGCUGGCGGCAGGCUUAACACAUGCAAGUCGAGCGGGCAUCCUUGUGGUGUCAGCGGCAGACGGGUGAGUAACGCGUGGGAACGUGCCCUUCGGUUCGGAAUAACUCAGGGAAACUUGAGCUAAUACCGGAUACGUGCGAGAGCAGAAAGGUUUAUCUGCCGAAGGAUCGGCCCGCGUCUGAUUAGCUAGUUGGUGAGGUUAUGGCUCACCAAGGCGACGAUCAGUAGCUGGUCUGAGAGGAUGAUCAGCCACACUGGGACUGAGACACGGCCCAGACUCCUACGGGAGGCAGCAGUGGGGAAUAUUGGACAAUGGGGGCAACCCUGAUCCAGCCAUGCCGCGUGAGUGAUGACGGCCUUAGGGUUGUAAAGCUCUUUUCUCCGGGACCAUAAUGACGGUACCGGAGGAAUAAGCCCCGGCUAACUUCGUG
rnacentral:rRNA from 1 species